UACACCUACACCUUGGAAAGGUAGGCAGCCAGGAAAAAGAAUGAGGAAAGUAUGUAAGUGGUAAAGAGGAAUAUCACUUGGAUACACCAUGGAGUGCACCAAGAAAGAUUUGUCAAACAAAUUAUACAUGGGUCUCACUAUGUAGCCAAGGCUGUCCUGGAACUCGUGAGCUUCCUGCUUCAGCCUCCUAGGUGUUGGGAUCACAGGUGCGCACCACCACACCCAGCUUCAUGCUCUUGAUUUUGCAGAUAGAACUGAGAAACCUUUUCCCCCAAAUAAUGGAACUGACCAACAAGGAAAACUCACCAGCAAGGGCCAUACACAAGUAAAAAGAACUCUUUGCUGCUGCUGGUGUAGACUCAGACAAGGUUAAUGGACCAAGAUAAACAUUCUCCUUCGCCUCCUGAGCAUCAAACGGGAAACACAGGCCACACAAAGCCCUAUCUUAAAUUCUGCUGUUGUGAGUGGAAGAUUCUGAGCACACUUCGCUCAGGGUAACGUGGGCUGGGGGUGAGCAGGAUUCAGCCGGGGCUCAUAGGUCUCAGGUCUGCCAGGAAGGCCUCGCCCAGGCGGGAAGUGCCUUCCACCUGAAGUGUUUGCCCCUGAAUGGAGAGAAUCUUCCCUGACCAGGAAGCUUGCUGGGCACACCUAGCUUCUUUUCGAAAAUUCUCAUGGCACUUUCCAGAAACAAAUAGAUCUGGAAUUAGAAAAAUGCCAUCUGAUUAAAAUAUAAAUAAACUUUACCAUGCAAAGUUGCUCAGUAGAAGAGGCUCAGGGUAGAUCUGGGUUCUAAGGCCAGGCUUUCCCCUCCCUCCCCAUGUGAAUCUUUAAGACAAGCUAUCUUCCUGUCUGCCCAUCCUGGGGAUCAAGCCUACAGCCUCACUCACUAACACGGGUUCCACCGGAGCCAUGGCCCAGCCCCAAUCUUCGCCUCUGCAGCCUCAGUCUCCACAUCUGUAAAUGGAAUAAUAACAGACCUCGGGAAGCCUGGCAAGGUAGCACACACCUGUAAGCCCAGCACGCGGGAGGCUGAGGCAGGCAGGAGGAUCACGAGUUCAAGGCCAACCUGGGUAACAUAGUAAGUUCAAAGCCAGCCUGGAUUAUAUAGCAAGGCCCUGUCUUCAAAACCAAAACCCAAACCUAACCCAAACCAAACAGGCCUGGGGUAAUGUGAGGAUUCUAUGUCUACGCAUGUGGACAGCCAGCCUGGAUGAAGCUUGGCUUGCGGUUCUUGCUAAUCAGACCAAAGUGCAGACCCAAAAGUGUCCCGGCGAGCUGCAGAGACCAUUUAGUCAGCGCUUCCCAUGGCCCAGAACAGUGUCGGGUAAGACAUUUAUAAGCAUGGGAUGGGUUACCCCCCCCCAUCACUGAGCUGCACCCCCACCGCGGGUGGAAAUCUCAGCCCUCCAGAGUGGUUCCUCUCUGCGUCCCAUUUUAGAGACGAGAGUCAGAGAGGUGAGGCGCUGUCCACGACGUCCACCUCAGAGGCAGUGCUGGGCGCCCCAGCUGGUCACCUCCUCAGGCUGCCUUCAGGUUCUUGGCUUCCUGUUCUACGCUUUGAGUCCCAAGACCAUCAAACUGUGGGCAUCACCUCUGGCUGGCUUCCGUGUUGUUCCCGAGCCUCUGUCAUCAUUGGUAUAAUUUUACAUCAACUUGGC
rnacentral:lncRNA from 1 species